CCUACGGGAGGCUGCAGUGGGGAAUAUUGCGCAAUGGGGGCAACCCUGACGCAGCAACGCCGCGUGAUUGAAGAAGGCCUUCGGGUUGUAAAGAUCCUUAAUCGGGGACGAAUUUUGACGUUACCCGAAGAAUAAUCUCCGUCUAACUACGUGCCAGCAGCCGUGGUAAUACAUAGGGAGCAAGCGUUAUCCGGAUUUACUGGGUGUAAAGGGCGUGUAGGCGGGCAUGCAAGCCAGAAGUGAAAUUUGGGGGCUUAACCCCCAAACUGCUUUUGGAACUGCGUGUCUUGAGUGAUGGAGAGGCAGGCGGAAUUCGCAGUGUAGCGGUGAAAUGCUUAGAUAUUGGGAGGAACACCAGUGGCGAAGGCAGCCUGCUGAACAUUAACUGACGCUGAGGCGCGAAAGUGUGGGGAGCAAACAGGAUUAGAUACCCCGGUAGUC
rnacentral:rRNA from 1 species